rnacentral:lncRNA from 1 species
AAUAGAGUGGUUGUGCCUUUCAGAUGCAACCGAACUACUAUAACCAGCCGAGAAUGAUCAACGCUGGAAAAGGCACCCGCAUCUUUAUAAUGGUGGAAGAUCAGUAGACUUAAUAUUUAGUGAGAAGAUUUGGGUUCAGAUCUCUUUUAAUUAGUCACAUACAUCUGAUAUAAUGACUAAUCUGAUUUGGGUCAACACAUUUUAUAUCUGACCAAUCU